rnacentral:rRNA from 1 species
AACGAACGCUGGCGGCAUGCCUAACACAUGCAAGUCGAACGAGACCUUCGGGUCUAGUGGCGCACGGGUGCGUAACGCGUGGGAACCUGCCCUUAGGUUCGGAAUAACUCCCCGAAAGGGGUGCUAAUACCGGAUAAUGUCUUCGGACCAAAGAUCUAUCGCCUUUGGAUGGGCCCGCGUUGGAUUAGCUAGUUGGUAGGGUAAAAGCCUACCAAGGCGACGAUCCAUAGCUGGUCUGAGAGGAUGAUCAGCCACACUGGGACUGAGACACGGCCCAGACUCCUACGGGAGGCAGCAGUGGGGAAUAUUGGACGAGGGGCGAAAGUCUGAUCCAGCAAUGCCGGGUGAGUGAUGAAGGCCUUAGGGUUGUAAAGCUCUUUUAGCCGGGAUGAUAAUGACAGUACCGGGAGAAUAAGCUCCGGCUAACUCCGUG